UACGGAGGGUGCGAGCGUUAAUCGGAAUCACUGGGCGUAAAGGGCGCGUAGGCGGCCCUGCAAGUCAGGUGUGAAAGCCCACGGCUCAACCGUGGAUGUGCAUCUGAAACUGCAAGGCUUGAGUAUCGGAGGGGAAGAUGGAAUUCCCGGUGUAGAGGUGAAAUUCGUAGAUAUCGGGAGGAAUACCGGUGGCGAAGGCGAUCUUCUGGACGAAUACUGACGCUGAGGCGCGAAAGCGUGGGGAG
rnacentral:rRNA from 1 species